UGAGACCCUUCAGUCUGCAGGCCCAUGCUCUUACCACUGAGCCAAAGCAGCUAAGGUUUCCGUUUUUGGCCAAAAGGGAAAAAAGAUGUGACCAACUUCUCAGUCCACUAACAGACUUGUCCAGGAACAAUAGUAAACGGGAAGGCGCUGCACAUUUUAAACUGCAGUAGAACAGAGGAAAGAGAAUGAGGAGGGAAUUUCCACCUGGAAUGAAUUCCCACAUCUUAUCAAGAUGAAGACAUGGCAACUCGAGAGAAGGAUCCUGUUGGCAAAAUGAUUAAAAAAGAGCUGUGGGCCCUAGCUGGUUUGGCUCAGUGGAUAGAGCAUUGGCUUGUGGACUGAAGGGUCCCAGGCUUGA